GAUGAACGCUGGCGGCGUGCCUAACACAUGCAAGUCGAGCGGACCACUUCGGUGGUUAGCGGCGGACGGGUGAGUAACGCGUGGAUAACCUGCCAUGUGCUUCGGGACAACAGGCCGAAAGGCUUGCUAAUACCGGAUAAGCUCACGCUCCCGCAUGGGGAUGGGCGAAAAGGCGCUGCACGGCGCGGGGACAAGAGGGGUCCGCGGCCUAUUAGCUAGUUGGAGGGGUAACGGCCCACCAAGGCGACGAUGGGUAGCCGGCCUGAGAGGGCGACCGGCCACACUGGGACUGAGACACGGCCCAGACUCCUACGGGAGGCAGCAGUCGGGAAUUUUGCACAAUGGCCGAAAGGCUGAUGCAGCAACGCCGCGUGAGUGAAGAAGGCCUUCGGGUUGUAAAGCUCUGUUGCCCGUGACGAAGUGACAUAUCAGGAAAUGGGUAUGGUUUGACGGUAGCGGGAGAGGAAGCCCCGGCUAACUACGUGCCAGCCGCCGCUGUAACAC
rnacentral:rRNA from 1 species